rnacentral:rRNA from 1 species
AGUGAACGCUGGCGGCGUGCCUAAUACAUGCAAGUCGAACGGAGUGGCGCACGGGUGAGUAAUGUAUAGCUAAUCUGCCCUACACUAGAGGAAAACAGUUGGAAACGACUGCUAAUACUCUAUAGUGUAGUAUGAGGAUAUAUUGUAUCAGCUAGUUGGUGAGGUAAUGGCUCACAAAGGCUAUGACGCAUAACUGGUCUGAGAGGAUGAUCAGUAGCACUAGAACUUAGACACGGUUCAGACGCCUACGGGAGGCAGCAGUAGGGAAUAGUGAUCAAUGGGGUGAACACUGAAGCAGCAACGCCGCAUGGAGGAUGACACUUUUCGGAGCGUAAGCUCCUUUUGUUAGGGAAGCGGUACCUAACGAAUAAGCACCGGCUAACUCCGUGCCAGCCGCCGCGGUAAUAC